rnacentral:rRNA from 1 species
UGCAAGUCGAGCGAAUGGAUUAAGAGCUUGCUCUUAUGAAGUUAGCGGCGGACGGGUGAGUAACACGUGGGUAACCUACCCAUAAGACUGGGAUAACUCCGGGAAACCGGGGCUAAUACCGGAUAAUAUUUUGAACUGCAUAGUUCGAAAUUGAAAGGCGGCUUCGGCUGUCACUUAUGGAUGGACCCGCGUCGCAUUAGCUAGUUGGUGAGGUAACGGCUCACCAAGGCGACGAUGCGUAGCCGACCUGAGAGGGUGAUCGGCCACACUGGGACUGAGACACGGCCCAGACUCCUACGGGAGGCAGCAGUAGGGAAUCUUCCGCAAUGGACGAAAGUCUGACGGAGCAACGCCGCGUGAGUGAUGAAGGCUUUCGGGUCGUAAAACUCUGUUGUUAGGGAAGAACAAGUGCUAGUUGAAUAAGCUGGCACCUUGACGGUACCUAACCAGAAAGCCACGGCUAACUACGUGCCAGCAGCCGCGGUAAUACGUAGGUGGCAAGCGUUAUCCGGAAUUAUUGGGCGUAAAGCGCGCGCAGGUGGUUUCUUAAGUCUGAUGUGAAAGCCCACGGCUCAACCGUGGAGGGUCAUUGGAAACUGGGAGACUUGAGUGCAGAAGAGGAAAGUGGAAUUCCAUGUGUAGCGGUGAAAUGCGUAGAGAUAUGGAGGAACACCAGUGGCGAAGGCGACUUUCUGGUCUGUAACUGACACUGAGGCGCGAAAGCGUGGGGAGCAAACAGGAUUAGAUACCCUGGUAGUCCACGCCGUAAACGAUGAGUGCUAAGUGUUAGAGGGUUUCCGCCCUUUAGUGCUGAAGUUAACGCAUUAAGCACUCCGCCUGGGGAGUACGGCCGCAAGGCUGAAACUCAAAGGAAUUGACGGGGGCCCGCACAAGCGGUGGAGCAUGUGGGUUUAAUUCGAAGCAACGCGAAGAACCUUACCAGGUCUUGACAUCCUCUGAAAACUCUAGAGAUAGAGCUUCUCCUUCGGGAGCAGAGUGACAAGUGGUGCAUGGGUUGUCGUCACCUCUUGUCCUGAGAAUGUU